UACAGAGGUCCCAAGCGUUGGUUCGGAUUCACUGGGCGUAAAGGGUGCGUAGGCGGUCGGGUAAGUCUGACGUGAAAUCUUCAAGCUCAACUUGGAAACCUGCGUCCGAUACUAUUCGGCGUCGAGGAAUGGAGGGGAGACUGGAAUAGCUUGGUGUAGCAGUGAAUGCGUAGAUAUCAAGUGGAACACCAGUGGCGAAGGCGAGUCUCUGGGCAUUCCUGACGCUGAGGCACGAAAGCCAGGGGAGCAAACGGG
rnacentral:rRNA from 1 species